UACGGGGGGGUGCGAGCGUUGUCCGGAAUCACUGGGCGUAAAGGGCGCGUAGGUGGUUUGAUAAGGGUGUGGUGAAAGUCCGGAGCUCAACUCCGGAUCUGCCGUGCCGACUGUCAAACUCGAGGGCUGUAGAGGCAGACGGAAUUCCGGGUGUAGCGGUGGAAUGCGUAGAGAUCCGGAGGAAGACCGGUGGCGAAGGCAGCUGCGUCUGGGACGGUAG
rnacentral:rRNA from 1 species